rnacentral:lncRNA from 1 species
CUUCCGCUGCCUCACCUUUGAGAGAACCAGCACAGGGGGUUUUCUCCAACAUUCAGGACCAAGGGAACAGGGGUCCAUUCCUGAGAAAUAAGAAAGAAUCAGAGCAGACAAAUUCAAGGAAGCAGCUCCAAAUGUUUGCCACUUCAGAAACCCAGCAGGAGCCAGCAGACAAGGAUGCUGAUGACAUGAGCAGAGAGAGACACUAAUGAAAUUAUUUUUCCUUCUCCAUGAAAGCAAGGAUUUUGCUGUUUUGUUCACUACUCCAUCCCCAGCAGCUACAAUUCAACAAAUGUGUGAAUUAAAGAAUGAACAGACGGGGAACAGCUGGUGUCUCAAACAGGGCAGGAAGACACCACCAUGGAUGCAAAGGACAGCUUCAUCAGUGAGCUGGGAUGUGGUCUUAAACCCAAGGAAAUCUAAAGGAGAGUUUAUGAACCCAAGUAUAAGAAGAAGAGAAUGCCGGCAUAUUUAGAAGUAAACAGGAUAUGCAGACAUAGGGGUGUAGUUUAGACACAGUUGUAAUUGGUAACACAAAGAUAGACUGAAGGCUCCAGGCUGCAGAAACAGCCCUGGGGAUCUGCUCUGGGAACACUGAGUGAGUCCUCUGAGCCUGCGUGCUCCCCAUCCUCUGUUCCAUAACAGACAAACUCAAGUCACGACCAGAUCUCAUUUGCUCAGUUUCAAGGAAUCUUAAUUUUAGACUUGACCUGGAUAGGUUUCUACGGAUAUAUGAUUUUUUUUAAUUAUAUAAUUUCAAAAUUCUGUU